rnacentral:rRNA from 1 species
UACGAAGGUGGCAAGCGUUACUCGGAAUUACUAGGCGUAAAGGGCAGGUAGGUGGUUUGAUAAGUCUGUUGUGAAAGCUCCCGGCUUAACUGGGAGAGGCCAACAGAUACUGUCGGACUUGAGUAUAGGAGAGGGUACUGGAAUUCCCGGUGUAGCGGUGAAAUGCGCAGAGAUCGGGAGGAACACCAAUGGCGAAAGCAGGUACCUGGACUAUUACUGACACUCAGCUGCGAAAGCUAGGGGAGCAAACAGG